rnacentral:rRNA from 1 species
AAUAUUGCACAAUGGGCGCUAAGCCUGAUGCAGCCAUGCCGCGUGUAUGAAGAAGGCCUUCGGGUUGUAAAGUACUUUCAGCAGUGAGGAAGGUGGGUAUGUUAAUAGCAUACUCAUUUGACGUUAGCUGCAGAAGAAGCACCGGCUAACUCCGUGCCAGCAGCCGCGGUAAUACGGAGGGUGCGAGCGUUAAUCGGAAUUACUGGGCGUAAAGCGCAUGCAGGUGGUUUGUUAAGUCAGAUGUGAAAGCCCGGGGCUCAACCUCGGAAUUGCAUUUGAAACUGGCAAACUAGAGUACUGUAGAGGGGGUAGAAUUUCAGGUGUAGCGGUGAAAUGCGUAGAGAUCUGAAGGAAUACCGGUGGCGAAGGCGGCCCCCUGGACAGAUACUGACACUCAGAUGCGAAAGCGUGGGGAGCAAACAGGAUUAGAUACCCUGGUAG